AUGAGAGAAAAUCAUCCGUUUCUCUUUUUGUGUUUUGAUGUUGCUUUUCAACAGGGAGCUGCAAGAGUAAAACAAGGCCAUAGGCGUCCUAGGAAGAAGCAAGUUCAGGAAGGUAGAAACAGAGCAUCGCCAACAAGGCUAGUAAAGCUAAACAAGAGCUUGGAUCAAUGGCAGAAGGAUCUGAUAGAAACUUACCAUCUGGGAGGCAUACUGAAGAUCAAAGCAACAACACUGCCUGCAGACCUCAGCAGGUGGGUAAUGCAGAUCUACGACCCGGCUAGCGAGUGCAUCGUUGUCCCAGGCAGGGGCGAGAUCCCCGUAACAGCCGAAAGCGUCCACCACACCUUGGGUCUUCGUAAUUCAGGGGAGGAAGUGUUCUACGGGUGGGAUGCAGAAGCAAUAUCUUUCAUAAACAGCAGGUUCGGUUUUCAGAAUGGGUGCGCCCCCGAGAUAACAACCGUCUGCACCAUGAUAAAAGAGAUGAACGGGAGAGCAGAUGACGACUUCAUGAGGGCCUGGCUGAUUGUGGUAGUUUGCACCUUCAUGUGCCCUACAACGAGCUUGCAUGUUAGCGCUCGAUGCUACCCAAUAGUUGCUGACCUAGAGGGAGUGAAGAGGCUCAACUUCUGUGCAUUCAUAGCGAACAGAUAA
rnacentral:rRNA from 1 species